rnacentral:siRNA from 1 species
CAGAGCAAAUAAACGAGACAUUAA